rnacentral:rRNA from 1 species
GGCGGCGUUGCCUUAUCAUGCAAGUCCGAGCGAACUGAUUAGAAGCUUGCUUCUAUGACGUUAGCGGCGGACGGGUGAGUAACACGUGGGCAACCUGCCUGUAAGACUGGGAUAACUUCGGGAAACCGAAGCUAAUACCGGAUAGGAUCUUCUCCUUCAUGGGAGAUGAUUGAAAGAUGGUUUCGGCUAUCACUUACAGAUGGGCCCGCGGUGCAUUAGCUAGUUGGUGAGGUAACGGCUCACCAAGGCAACGAUGCAUAGCCGACCUGAGAGGGUGAUCGGCCACACUGGGACUGAGACACGGCCCAGACUCCUACGGGAGGCAGCAGUAGGGAAUCUUCCGCAAUGGACGAAAGUCUGACGGAGCAACGCCGCGUGAGUGAUGAAGGCUUUCGGGUCGUAAAACUCUGUUGUUAGGGAAGAACAAGUACGAGAGUAACUGCUCGUACCUUGACGGUACCUAACCAGAAAGCCACGGCUAACUACGUGCCAGCAGCCGCGGUAAUACGUAGGUGGCAAGCGUUAUCCGGAAUUAUUGGGCGUAAAGCGCGCGCAGGCGGUUUCUUAAGUCUGAUGUGAAAGCCCACGGCUCAACCGUGGAGGGUCAUUGGAAACUGGGGAACUUGAGUGCAGAAGAGAAAAGCGGAAUUCCACGUGUAGCGGUGAAAUGCGUAAAGAUGUGGAGGAACACCAGUGGCG